UAAUGCUGUUGUUGUUGCUGCUGCUGCUGCUGCUGUUGUUGUUGGUGAUGAUGCUGUUUCACUUCAGCCGACGAAGUGACGGGCGGAGAAGUUGGACUGGGAGGUGUCCACUGGUCCACCGAGGCGAAAUUGGGAUUGUUUGGGAUGAUGGUGAUGGACUGUUGGCGGCUCCAGAGAUGAGACAGAGAGACGACCCAAUAUCAUUUCCACCUCGAAACCUGGAAGACGAAGGAAAAUAAUAAAAAAUUAUCUAACCCCCACCGACUCGAGAAAAGAUCAGAUACGCACCACUUCCGCUGGAUCGCCCCAGCUCUCGAAACUGCCUGGGAAUUGAUGAGAUAAGGAUCGAUUUCGAAUCGGAAGCUCCGCUAAAUCUCUUGCGCAAAUAGACACACAUGCACACCUGCGACUGUGCGCGUCAACCAGACUCGAACCAGCUAGAAAGGGUGGAGGACGCCGCCCAAAGGUAGGAAAGAAUAGGAAAGAAGGCUCGGACAGGUCACACCAGAUUUAAUUGCAGCUCAUUGGAACGCGCGUCGUGUGGCCUGGACACUUAAAUAGGGACAAUGUUUUGGUAAAAUGCUUCCACUCUUGCGUCUAGCAAAUGUGUUUGAAAUCAUGAACCACAACGUCAAGAGCAGCUUCUUUAAGGUCGUCAAUUGAAUGAAGUUCUUGAAUGUCCGAGUAAAUGAAAAUGGAGCAGUUGGCUGAAAAUCUUGGGCUCGAUAUCCUCAACAACGACUUGGCCCGUCUUCCUCUCUUGCAUGUCGUGAUUGAACAUGACGGCAAACAUCUUACUCAUGGCCGAUAAGAUGCUGACGUGACCUCCAAUGCGCUGGACAUCUUAAACCAACAUUUUCCCGACCUCCAUUCAUCUAAUCCUGACCAUUUCUUCAAGAUCGAUUUCUUGCCUCUGUUGAUAGCGAAUUCAACAGCGCAGGACGGACGAUAGUAAUCCGGAAGCAAUUCUACUUCUCCGCUGGAACUCGGCCUUUCCUUGACGCCAUCUACUUGCGUCAGACAGACUUAGGUGCCCACUCACCGGAGAAAGGGCCCGUUUCGGAAAAAUUCAUAAUAUCCAUCCCAUUGUCUAUCCAUCAUAUUGUUUAUGGCAUUAACUAUUGGUAGUCAGUUUGAAUGCUGCCAAUGAGUGACGACAUUAUGGAGUCAGCUGAUGGAGUGAUUAGGCAAUAGCUGCCGUGUCCCGUGCGUUCCAAAUCCGUAAUUAUGCUAAUUAUAGUUAAUUAAAACUUCCUUUUUCCUAGUCUGAAUAACAUUUGAAAUAAUAUCGUGCCAGCGGUAAAGGAAAACGCAGUGCAAUCUAGCUAAUAACAUCUCUUAAGGAUAAAGGUAACCGUGUCGAAUGACGAAAUUCAAAGGCCUCAGUUUUGGCCAUUGUUACAUAUGGGCAAGAGUCGUGGAAAAAUGUUCAAGAGUUUUCUGAGCAGUUUUGAAAAAUCUCGACAGGUAUUUAACUGAUUCAAUCAAAAAUGCCUUUGAACUCAUUUCCAGCACCCAAGGCCCUUCCUGGAACCAAGAAAGAAUUUCCGCAGGUGUGCAGCCGUGUCAACAGCGGAAAGGUGAAAACACCAACGUUUCAUCCGUCAUUUUGCGAUCAAUCCGCAAGUGCGACCUGCUCCGUUGGCCAACAAUUUAGCGCGUCUCGUUCCAAUGAGCGCCACACACCCAAGCCCGGCACGCACCAUGAUUCUUCUGGUGUGUCUGCUUGCCUCAACAAACAGAUCACAAAUCCGCUAAUCAAAGUGAAAUCAGUUGACAAAAAGCCUCGUAGCAGCCAGCCGGAUAACAGGCCGAUUAAACCAACGUGGAACAUUACCACCCAGAUAGAUGCCAAGAAAAUGCCUAUCGAAAUUCCACCUUUGCCCGGCAGGAGAAAGACGUUGAAAGAUUUGGUGUGCAAACCUUUCCAGGCCAAGCCACUACCUCCCAGCACUUACGAACCGUUUGUACCUGUGAUCAGGAAACGUCCGUCUGUCUCGUAUAACAAGAAAUUGGCAAUCGAGCUGAGCCCGACGGAGGAACAGGAACUGCGGGAAUUUGAAUUGGCUGAAAAGGUGAUCCCCGGAAUUGAGUCUCAGAAGAAGAAGAAGAUUCCCGGUCGUUUCGAAAAGGCAACCCAAUUCCCUUGCGAGGAAGAAGUUGCACGGCAAGAGGUGGCUCUGGUGAGAAUGCUGGAAGAAAUAAUUUUUCGAGAAAUCGCAAAGAAAAAGACGGCCCCAUAAUGUUACGUAGCAUGUUGAAUCAACUGAAAAGUUGGUUUUCUUAAAAACAAGUAUCCAUUUUCGAUUGUUUUGCUAUACAGGAAUGUAUGGUGGUCGGUUCAUUACACGAAUAUUAUCGAACGUA